rnacentral:rRNA from 1 species
GAUGAACGCUGGCGGCGUGCCUAAUACAUGCAAGUCGAGCGAACAGACGAGGAGCUUGCUCCUCUGACGUUAGCGGCGGACGGGUGAGUAACACGUGGAUACCCUACCUAUAAGACUGGGAUAACUUCGGGAAACCGGAUCUAAUACCGGAUAAUAUCUUGAACCGCAUGGUUCAAUAGUGAAAGUCGGUUUUUCUGUCACUUAUAGAUGGAUCCGCGCCGCAUUAGCUAGUUGGUAAGUUAACGGCUUACCAAGGCGACGAUGCGUAGCCGACCGGAGAGGGUGAUAGGCCACCCGGGAACGGAGACACGGUCCAGACGCCUACGGGAGGCAGCAGUAGGGAAUCUUCCGCAAUGGGCGAAAGCAUGACGGAGCAACGCCGCGUGAGUGAUGAAGGUCUUCGGAUCGUAAAACUCUGUUAUUAGGGAAGAACAAAUGUGUAAGUAACUAUGCACGUAUUGACGGUACCUAAUCAGAAAGCAACGGCUAACUACGUG